AAAAAAGAAUAUUCAAAACGCGCGUAUAUAAACUGUAGGGAUUUUACACGAGAAUCCGGAUAUUUACAAUUAGUACAUACUCCGUAAAACCUGUUAUGACCAAUAAUGACGGCACGCGCACUUGUUGAAUCGGGAAAGCAUGGGGCAACAUAACAGAUUAGCCGGCACGCAGAAUGCAUGCCUUUUAACUGGCCAUAAAUCAGAGUCAAGAAGCAGAGAGCUUCAAGCGGCUAUGGGCAACUGCUUGCUACCGCCGAUGCCGGCUUUAAGCCCUAGCACCAGUGUCCCGCUAAGGGGUAGGGUAGUUGUGGCGAAUCCCCAUACGCGUGAUUACUCAAUUUCCCAUGCCGGGACUACACGAUGCCUUUAUCGGAGGACUCGAUCGGACCAUACGACAUGGACGUUAUUCCGUUCACUUCGAAGAGAGAAACUAUACACGUCACCGUCUCUUUUUGAAUAAGAUCAUUUGAUAACUUAGUAAAACAAAAUUCCGGAUUACUAAAAAAGUCUAAUAAAGUGAAUGACAGUAAGUAGGGCGCGCUGCGAUUGUAACGAUGCUCACCAAACAAAGCUAGAAAAGAACCGAUGGUAGGGACGGUCGUAGCGUAACACUAUUAUAAAUAGGCGAGUUCAGUGUCAUUGGUUUUCCAGUGGUUUAUUAUGAACGUAGUUCUCGGGGCCGGUGCUACUUGCCACGCUGUGUCUACCAACCCAAAGAGACUCCAAAUAGUGGGAGGUUAAAGACCCUAUCGCGAAUUCCGCCUCGAAGCCUAGGAUCUGGAGUCCGUCCACGUUCGAAAUCUACGAGGAGGCGAUACCCAGCCGAAUCCAACGGGGUAUACGUGGCUGAGCCAUGUGACGUUACUGCGCAAAAAUUCUCGAGUUUUCCGUACGAGCAGCUGGGUACGAACAAUCUCACGGUCACGAGGUUAUGUCGCCAUAGACGGGGAACGGUCGAUGUAAAGGAAAUCAUCGGCGAUCCUGCCGCCCCGAAAAAUUCGACGAUCACGCUCCACGCGAUGAGGAACAACCUGGCAGGGUUCAUGUUUCGAGGGACGAGAGUCUAAGAGGGUGAACGUAUCGAACGUUCCCUUUUGCCAAGAAAUGGAAGAAGGAUUUCCCGUGGGUAGAAGUGAGCGCGAUAGCAAGAAACGUUAUGUCACGGCUUGGCUAUGCUUAAAGAUUAUUUGAUGUCUAAGAAUCCUUGCGAGAGCAUGCACGAAACAUUGCCGAGAGGAUUCCACUAGCUUUGUGCUUCUGUCAUUUUUCGUAACACAACUGUCGUAGAUUCGCCCUGGUCGAUUGGUCGAGUUCGGUUAUUCGAAGGAUAUUCUAGGAGAGACACAAGCAAGUCACGAAUCGUCUCUGUCAGGAAAACACACUCCGACAAGAGCUCACUGAAAGAUGGUGAAUAAAUGCCUGGACUCGCUUGAAACCUCAACCAAAGACAGUCUCAUACCGCACAGAAACUCACCUGACCAACGUCGCACCACAUUAUUAUUUAGCUGGCACUGAUGACAGCAUCUUGGACCGUUCGUAAACCAUAUACAGUACGGAAUAGUCGUAGAUUUUCAGUGAGAAACCGUCUGUGGAAAGUCCGAGGUCGCAAGGUGUCACAGUCUCACAGAGCCAAACGCUACUCGUAGGAACACCACACGAUCACUCCGACUGAAAAACAAGUCUCACCGACGACCCUACUGGCUAGCCAGCCAUGCAAAGCAUUACUGAGUACUCUGACAACAGUCUUCACCGAGUACCGCCGCUCGGUUUUCCCCCGAGCCAGCUCGGGAGUUUCCGUUAGCGUUCGGCCCACCUGCACUCCGACACGACGGCACAGCAAGCCAGGGCCGUCUACUGUUAACUGGAACCCCGAUCUACAGAGUUCGCAGCCUGCCUUUCAGCUUGCCUACCUGCGUGCUUGCUUGCCUUCCCGAAACUACAUCCUACCGAGUACAGCAAUAUGCUCCGUAGAGAGCCUGAGACCCUCCAAAAUUAACGGGCAACGUUCGUCCACGACACACCGUUGUGGUUGUCGUCCAAGGGAAAACGGGGCCAGGUCUCUGGAAGAUUGUUCCUCGACUUUCAGAUGACCGCUCACUGGUGAUAUGAGCUUCCUGCGACUUGCAAACAGCACUGCUUUUAAUAAUUUGUUUAAAUCGAAGGAUAAUGAUUGAAACAAUUUCAACAGGACACUGUCAAACAAGUUUUUUCUAAUAUCCAGAUGAAGCUAUAAAGUGUGAUUGGACCAAAAAUAGAUGCGAACAAAUCCGUACACGGUCAGAUUGUUACCUGAUGCGGAUCUGUGAAUUCUCUUACUCCUGGAAUUGUUAACUGUACCUGAAUGAACGUAGGUAGAAUGACCCCGUUUAUUAUCUGGAGGGUCGUAAAGUCUAAAUGACAGACGCGACGUAAAGCGCUACCGAAUAUUUUUCCAAGACGAGUGGUAAGACUGUUUCAGGAUAGAGGAUAUAACUUUGAACCUGUGUCCAACCGGUAUAAGCACAAAGACGGAUCGUAAAAUUAAUUUACUAUUCCAAUUAAAGUUUCGUGGUAAGCAAACAAUUAAUACAAACAAAUAGAGGGUAGAGUGGAAGUGGACAGUGUAUAAAAUAAAUUAUGAUACUUCCCACCUUACAGUAAGAUCGUUCAUCUUCUUAAUUUAUGAUGCUCGAGGACAAAAAUCUUUAUUGAAAAGAGCGCAUUCAGGAGGUAAAACAUACUAAACGAAAGAGCGAAUAAAAAACAAAUAACGAUAGCAGUAUUUAUGCUUUGAUUGAAACGAACCGAUGAUUGCUCCCUUUUAAAUAUUCAGAAACGUAUUUAUAGAUAUAGAAAUAUUUCUCGAUCCAGCAAGUCGAACUAUUUGAACAGCUCUUUGAAAAUAUCGCGUUCGCACGUGGAAUGCGCGUGCUGAAAAGUUCGCGGUCUUUACCGUGAAUUCCCGCUAUACGAAUAGCAUGUCUCUCGAGUCGUUUGUACCGAUAGUCAAAUAGGCAGACGCGCACGUGAUUUUCAACAAUUCUCAUAUAAUACCCACCUCUGAAAAUAUCGACAGUUUAUAAAGUGCGCCUAUCAGGUUACACAGUCCAGGUUCCACUACCCUAUACUGUUUUGUUUACGUUCGGCUACGCGCUCACGAUUAUAGGUUACGGCUUUCGUAUUAUUACUGUUUUAUUUAUUCGAGAACGAUGUCGGUGCGCAUCCAUUCAGCAUACGAGAAUUCAUAUUGUAAUUGAAAUGAAAAUGUAUCGACACGUUGUAACUAACGAGAUGAGAGUGAGGUUAUAAAACGGCAAUUAAAAAAAAAAGGCGUAACAAUUAAAAACGUUAAAUUCUUAUAACCUGAUAAUAAAUUUGAUCGAACCUCUGUCGUUGAUGGAUAUUGUGAUCUUGUCUGGAACUAUUAAUGCAUCAAAUGUCCAUUUUCUCAGUAGCCAGUGUCAGUCGUCGUUACUGUCUAUCUGAGCUCCGUUUUACUGCAUAUUAAAAAAAAAGAAAAGUGUUAUAGGUCUCGAAUAUAUUCGUUUUUAAAAUAUGAUGAUUGUCAGCUUCGAGAUCGUGGACGCGAUUCAGCUCAAUGAAAAUGAAAAACUCUAGACACAUGUGGAUUCAUAUAGAUAUAUGUUAAUCCAAUGACAACUUAAUUUAUGCAUGUAUGAUGUAUAUACACGCACGCCGUCACCGCCAAGACUUUACACCUGUACCAGAGCCGUGUUAAGCACAUUGCAUAACCUGCGGGUAGCACGAAGCUUGUCGUGGAUCGUCACGACCUGUACAAAUUUUCAACGAAACGAGUGGAGGAAACGUUUCGUUUUGGUAGCGCGACAUCGAUUCACUACGAAUCGAUCCAGUCGCCCUGGAAAAGGCUUGGAAUAGUUGGCAGUGAAGUCAUCGAUACUCGUCAGUGUCCUUAAAUUCACCAGAAUAAUGUUUUCAAGAAGAUACAGUAUAGCGCCACCAUUAUUGAAAAUUAAAAAUCAAUAUCUAUUAUAGAAAUUUCAAAAGUUGAAAAUUUUACCAAAUUUUGAUGCAGUAUUUAUCAGUGAGUAUUACGAGAAAGAGAAAAUAAUAAUAAAGAGAAAAUGUGAAAAAAAGAAAUUUAUAAUUUUUUUUCUAAUUUCAAAUGACAGCUACUACGCGCGUUUCAACAGUUUAAGUUACUCGAAGAGCCUCCUGACGCUGGGGCCCCUAAUCAUGAACCUAGCGCUGCUAGGCCUAAAACCGCCACUGACGGGCUGUAUAGGCGUGGCAAGCUAAGCGUCGGCCGGCGUUCACAGACAACGCCGCUCGCCGAUCACGUUAUACCGUCCUGCUGUAUACGACGAGCAACCUAAGAAAAUUCAUCGAAAACAUUUUUAUUAUUUCCCGCUGAAAUGGCGUGCGCUGUCGCGAUUUCGGAUGCACGUAGCGAUGCGGUUGGGGAUGGUUCACCGAUUUUUGUAGGGUAGAAUAUGCGUCGCGAUGUGUUUGACAUGUUACGUGAAAUAUUUCAGUGGGUAGGUUCUUUCGGGUGGAAGAGAGACAGAGAGACCUCGAACGAGAGAGUGGAACAAGGAGAGAGAGUGGAAACCGUUGGAAGGCCGCGUAACGCCACGAGAGCUGUCGUUUUCUCGUCGAUGUUCUCCUCGUGGUUGUUGCCGUCGUCAUCGUCAUCGGCGCAGCUACGUGCGUCGUGACGACGACGUCCAUCAGGACGACCUACUCGGGGACGAGGACGAGGACACGAAUCAGCGCGGGAGAGAAUGAAAGGUGCGCAGGAGUAUUUGAAUGCGUUGCGGGCUUUUCAGUACGGCCGGUCAGGCAGGAACCGACUGGAGAAACUUUGGACUCCAUGUUGGAGACAUAUGGCUAUGUCUUUCCUGUUGAACUAUACAGAGUCAGAGUUCCAGGGAGAUACUGGCACUACCACGGCCGGCGGACUCUGCGUCAUUGCAUGGCUGACUCGGUCGGACUGACUCUGCUAAAAGUCGGAGACUCGUCGCGACUGACUCUCUCAGCUUAUUGCCAACGAUGCGCAAACAAUUCUGCUUUCUUGAGCUCGGCUGACGACGUUCCUAGCAUCGCUGCGCUUAUGCGACGACGGCUGGCGCAGCGACGGACACUACAGAGAUGCGUUGAUCCACCGUCGCAGCGCGCAUAGACAUACAUACGUAUCUACUAUAAUCUAAAAUAUCGAUAUAUUGUAUUGUGUAAUAAUUUAUAUUUUCAAUAAGCUAAACAUAAACAUUAAG